GCUCAACCGAGGAAGUGCUUCGAAAACUGGUAAACCUGAGUGCAGAAGAGGAAAGUGGAACUCCAUGUGUAGCGGUGGAAUGCGUAGAUAUAUGGAAGAACACCAGUGGCGAAGGCGGCUUUCUGGUCUGUAACUGACGCUGAGAUUCGAAAGCAUGGGUAGCAAACAGGAUUAGAUACCCUGGUAGUCCAUGCCGUAAACGUUGAGUGCUAAGUGUUGGAGGGUUUCCGCCCUUCAGUGCUGCAGCUAACGCAUUAAGCACUCCGCCUGGGGAGUACGAUCGCAAGAUUGAAACUCAAAGGAAUUGACGGGGGCCCGCACAAGCGGUGGAGCAUGUGGUUUAAUUCGAAGCAACGCGAAGAACCUUACCAGGUCUUGACAUACCAUGGAAAGCUAAGAGAUUAGUCUUUCCCUUCGGGGACAUGGAUACAGGUGGUGCAUGGUUGUCGUCAGCUCGUGUCGUGAGAUGUUGGGUUAAGUCCCGCAACGAGCGCAACCCUUAUUAUCAGUUGCCAGCAUUCAGUUGGGCACUCUGGUGAGACUGCCGGUGACAAACCGGAGGAAGGUGGGGACGACGUCAAAUCAUCAUGCCCCUUAUGACCUGGGCUACACACGUGCUACAAUGGUCGGUACAACG
rnacentral:rRNA from 1 species